rnacentral:misc_RNA from 1 species
AAGUCGUAACAAGGUCUCCGUAGGUGAACCUGCGGAGGGAUCAUUACAGAGUUUUUAACUCCCAAAACCAUGUGAACUUACCACUGUUGCCUCGGUGGAAGGUGCUGGAAACAGCACUGGAAGCCGGCGGACAUCUAAACUCUUGUUAAUUUAUGUCAUUCUGAAUCAUAACUAAGAAAUAAGUUAAAACUUUCAACAACGGAUCUCUUGGUUCUG